rnacentral:rRNA from 1 species
UACGUAGGGUGCAAGCGUUAUCCGGAAUUACUGGGCGUAAAGCGUGCGUAGGUGGUUUGUUAAGUUAGAUGUUAAAUCUGCAGGCUCAACUUGUAGGCUGCAUCUAAUACUGGCAGACUUGAGAGUGGAAGAGGCAAACGGAAUUCCCGGUGGAGCGGUAAAAUGCGUAGAUAUCGGGAAGAACACCAAUGGCGAAGGCAGUUUGCUGGGACAUUUCUGACACUGAGGCACGAAAGCGUGGGGAG